rnacentral:tRNA from 1 species
GUUGUCGUGGCCAAGUGGUUAAGGCGAUGGACUAGAAGUAUUUUGGGAUCUUCCGGCGCAGGUUCGAAUCCUGCCGACAUCG